UACGGGGGGGGCAAGCGUUGUUCGGAAUUACUGGGCGUAAAGGGUUUGUAGGUGGCUUGUUAAGUCAGACGUGAAAUCCCUCAGCUUAACUGGGGAACUGCGUCUGAUACUGGCGAGCUUGAGUGCAGGAGAGGAACGCGGAAUUCCAGGUGUAGCGGUGAAAUGCGUAGAGAUCGGGAAGAACAUCGGUGGCGAAGGCGGCCUGCUGGGCUGUUGCUGACGCUGAGGCGCGACAGCGUGGGGAGCAAACAGG
rnacentral:rRNA from 1 species